UACGUAGGGUGCGAGCGUUGUCCGGAAUUAUUGGGCGUAAAGAGCUCGUAGGCGGUGUGUCACGUCGGCCGUGAAAACCUGCAGCUUAACUGUGGGCGUGCGGUCGAUACGGGCAUCACUGGAGUUCGGCAGGGGAGACUGGAAUUCCUGGUGUAGCGGUGAAAUGCGCAGAUAUCAGGAGGAACACCGGUGGCGAAGGCGGGUCUCUGGGCCAUAACUGACGCUGAGGAGCGAAAGCGUGGGGAGCGAACAGG
rnacentral:rRNA from 1 species